AGAAGAGAGAUCAAUAGUAAUAAAUUAUCACCAUCUAAAAUUUUUGUUAAUGUGUUUUUUUAUUACACUAUUAAUAUUUCAAAUCACAAUGAAAGAAUACCUCAAUAACACGUCUAUGAAUUUUAAUAUAUUUUAGAUAACAUUUAAUAUAUAUUAUACUCAAUUCAAUUCAAUUCAUGUUCAGCCCUGAUUUAACCCCACUUGAAUCUCUAAUCCAUGACUCACUAACCCCUUUCAGUUUGAUGACCGGGCAGGUUUGAAAACAUUCAUUCCUUAAAAGCUAGAAAUGAUUUUUAAACUACUCAUAUUAAUUUUUGAAAAGAAGGUUUUGCUCAGUUUCUUCCAACCCAUACCAGCCCAAUCCCCUCCACCUUUAACAACUGAGUUCAAGCUUUAGAGACACUUCAUGAAUUGGACUAAAUAACAAUUAAAUUACAACUAUGAGUGCCCAUAGUUCAGAAAGAUUGAAGUUCCAAAGUAAGUUUAAAAGUUGCAUAAACCUAAAACCUACCAUUUUCAACACAAAAUUAGUAGUACAUGCAGGAAUAGAUUGAGCAUAAAUCAGGCUGAGCCGCUAAAGGGAAACAUCAUUCUUGCUAAUAUGAGUGUGAGAGAGAUCAGCACAGUGAACUACACACGCAUACACAACAACAAACUGCAAACAUAAAACACACCCAUACAUAAAAAAAAAAAAAAAAAA
rnacentral:misc_RNA from 1 species